rnacentral:rRNA from 1 species
UACGUAGGGGGCUAGCGUUGUCCGGAUUUAUUGGGCGUAAAGAGCUCGUAGGUGGUUCGGUAAGUCGGAUGUGAAAUCUCCCGGCUCAACUGGGAAACUGCAUCGGAAACUGAUCGGCUUGAAGAUGGGAGAGGGUAGUGGAAUUCCCGGUGUAGUGGUGAAAUGCGCAGAUAUCGGGAGGAACACCAAUGGCGAAGGCAGCUCGCUGGGACGUGACUGACGCUGAGACGCGAAAGCGUGGGGAGCAAACAGG